AAUACGUAAAAACAAGUUUAAAACACUAAACUAAACUCAACGAAUGCAAAACUAAACUUUAAAACACCAAAACAAACCAAAAGACUCAAAACAGCCCAAAAACACUCAAAACUGCCUUAAAACCACAAUCUGGGCAGUUUUGAACACUAGACUCAAUCUUGGACGAAAAUUGGUUUUAUCUUGACCUAAGACACUUAAAAACACAAACUAAAGUGAUUUCUAACUACUAUGACUCAACUAAGUAAAUAGGGAUUGAUUGUGGACGAAUUUAACUUUUAAAACAAAAACUUUAAAAACAAACUUUAAUGAAAACGAUUUUGAUGAAAUAGAAUGGGGAAAGGCUAGUUAGAGGGUUCCUUCUCCACACAUGAAACAUAUGCAUACGACUCGAUCUCCAAUUACUCUUUCAACAAACCAUGAAUGAUAAUGCCCCAAAUUAACUAGAUUGACCAAUUAACUCUCAGAUUUCCCUAGAUUCAUUGAAU
rnacentral:lncRNA from 1 species